GACGAACGCUGGCGGCGUGCUUAACACAUGCAAGUCGAACGGAAAGGCCCUGCUUUUGUGGGGUGCUCGAUUGGCGAACGGGUGAGUAACACGUGAGUAACCUGCCCUUGUCUUUGUGAUAACUUCAGGAAACUGGGGCUAAUACCGGAUAGGAGCUCCUGCUCCAUGGUGGGGGUUGGUAAGUUUCGGCGGUUGGGGAUGGACUCGCGGCUUAUCAGCUUGUUGGUGGGGUAGUGGCUUACCAAGGCUUUGACGGGUAGCCGGCCUGAGAGGGUGACCGGCGACAUUGGGACUGCGAUACGGCCCAGACUCCUACGGGAGGCAGAAGUGGGGAAUAUUGCACAAUGGGGGGAAGCGUGAUGCAGCAACGCCGCGUGCGGGAUGACGGCCUUCGGGUUGUAAACCGCUUUCGCCUGUGACGAAGCGUGAGUGACGGUAAUGGGUAAAGAAGCACCGGCUAACUACGUG
rnacentral:rRNA from 1 species